rfam:Zootermopsis nevadensis contig24086, whole genome shotgun sequence.
CACGGUGGUAUAGCGGUUAGAACGCUGGCCUUGUAAUCCUGGGGUCUCGGGUUCGAUUCCCGGCGGUG